rnacentral:lncRNA from 1 species
AUGGGGGGGGGGGGCGGGGGGUUACCUCCUCCCCGGCUCCCCCGGCCGCUCCCCACACCCCCGGCCGGAGGGGACGGGGGCCGCCGCAGCCACCGAGCCGGUGGAGUGUCUGUCUUACCUCCUCCUCCUCCUCCUCCUCCUCCUCCUCCUCCUCUUCCUCCUCCUCCUCAUCCCUUCUCCACCUCCCCCUCCUCCUCCUCCUCCUCCUCCUCCCGCUCCUCCUCCCCCCGCCCCUCCCCGGCCGCCCGCCGCCGGCGGCUCCCCCCGCCCCCCGCCCCGGGGCUGUCUGCCUGCCCGCCCGCCUGCCUGCCUGUCUGCCUCCGGCAGCGGCUCUGCCUGCGCCCAGCGAGGACCGACCCGACCCGACCCGACCCGGCCCGGCCCGGACGGCCCCGGCCCCGGCUCUGCCUCCAGCUGGGUCCCCGGGCCCCCCCCCCCUCGCCCCCCUCCCGCCGUCCGUCCCGGGGGGCUGCCCGGAGGGGGGGAAGGGGGGGGGCUGCCCGCUGCCCUCCCGCCCGCAGCCGAGGCAGCCUGGGCUCAGCCGGGAAGAUUCCGACGUGUCCUGGGGUCACCCUCGGAUCCUCUGCUCCAUCUCACCCUCCAUCUCACCCCCCCUACCGGGACGGCCCCGCUGGAGGGGAGCAGGAGGAGAGGCCGAUCCACAGUAGGGUCUCGGGGACCCCGGCGCCGCUCCCGAAUGUGGCCGUGGGUGGGCAAACCUCAUCUCUGGGGGUGACCCCCCUCGGCCUCCUCCCACAAACCCUCCGGUCCCCGGGCUCCUAGGCCGGUCCCGGGCUUUCCCAGCCUCCGGUUGGAGCGGGACAGGUCCGCCCCGUUGGCUCUCGGCGGACGGUCCACGCCGGCGGAAACAUUUCGCGCCGUCAUCCUGGCCGACAUUCCCAGUUUUGGUCCCGGCUACAGGGGCCGCAGUCGGCAUCAUCCUCAACUCCUCUCUGUUUUUCAUCUCUCACGUUCGGUCCCCUGCCAAACCCCGCCAGCUUUUCCAACACGUUCCAGAUCUCUGCGUUCCUCUCCGCCCGAACGGCUUCCGAAGCUCUGGACGGUGUGGCUAAACCGUUGUCUCGGCCCCCUCGUGGUCUCCCUCCUUCCAGUCCUUUCCCCCACCCUCCGGCCCGCACUCGCGUUGGUGCGUGAAUCGCCUCGUUGAAGCUCCGCUCCUCACACGUCCCUCCGCUUCUCAGAAGUCUCCGUCCGUUUUCCUUUUCCCUCCGCAUCGAGCAAAAAUGCCUCCGACGCAACUUCGGGACUCUUCUGCUGUCCCCGGACAUAUCUGCUGUCAUCACAGCUAGUCCCCAGCUUGCCCUCCUCCUCUCUCGAUGGAGGGCAUUUAGUGAAUGCUCACUGUGUGCGGAGCACUGUGCUCCCUGGCGAACCUAAGUGAAACUUGCUCUCAACUGGAGAAGCAGCUUGACCUAGUGGAUAGAGCACGGGCCUGGGAGUCGGAAGGACCUGGGUUCUAAUUCCGACUGCGUCGCUUGUCUGUUCUGUGACCUUGGGCAAGUCACUCCUCUUCUCUAGGCCUGAACUCCCUCGUCGGUCACACAGGGAUUAAUACCGGGAGAUCUAUAAGGGACAUGGACUGUGUCCAACCUGAUUAUCUUGUGAUAAUGAUCAUUGUAUUUGUUAAAUCCCGUGUGUCAGACACUGUACGAAAUGCUGGGGUGGAUACAAGCAGAUCGGGUUGGACAGACUCCCUACACCAGUGCUCGGUCAAGUGCCCGGCACAUAGUCGGUGCUUAACAGAUACGUUAAAAAACAGUUUCCCGGCCGCCGAUCACCAGGUGCCUUUCCACUGCAGGGAGAUGGGUCGGUAGCCUGGCUGACCAUUGGCCAGCUGCCUGUCUGGAGAAAGCUUCCCCUCCACCUCCUGCAGAAAUCAGAAUUUCUGAAUAAGCGCCCUGGGCCAGGACUGGGCUUCUCCCCACAGUCCUGUGACCCGCACCGGCCCAAGCCUAUUUUAGUGGCUCCAUCUUGCUAGAUGUUCAGAUCCCCAGUUCCCCCAACCUUGUGAAAGCCAACCCCACUACCAGCCCUCCUGUCCUGCCACCAAGCCUUGGUCCAAGCUGCCCGAAAUCCCGGCCAAACAUAAUCCUUCUCUUCCUUUAAAUCUCAUCCCAAAGCCGACCUCCUCAGGAACCUCUCAACAAUUGGUGGCACGGCGAUUAGUGACCCAAUCAGCACAGUUCCUCGCCCCUCUUUCCAUGCUCCCCUAAUUUUCCAUUCAAACAGCAUGGCUUAAACGGACAGAGCCCAGAACUGGGAGUCAGGAGAUCUGGGUUUCAAUCCCGGCCUCAUCUUUUGCCUGCUUCGUGACUGUUGUGUCUACCAACCCUACUGCGUUGUACUUUCCCAAGUGCUUAGUACAGGACUCCUUCCACAGUAAGUGCUCAAUAAAUGAAAUUAAUCGAUUGAUUCUCUGUGCCUCAGUUUCCUCAUCUGAAAAAAGGAGGUAAAAUACCUAUUCCUCCCCGCCUCCCUUAAAUUGAAAGCCUCAUAUGUGGUGGAAGCAGUGUUGCUUAGUGGAAAGAGCCCGGGCUUGGGAGUCAGAGGUCAUAGGUUCUAAACCUGGCUCCGCCACUUGUCAGCUGUGUGACUUUGGGUAAGUCACUUCGCUUCUCUGUGCCUCAGUUACCUCAUCUAUUAAAUAGGGAUUAAGACUGUGAGCCCCACGUGGGACAACCUGAUAACCCACUGCUUAGAACAGUGCUCGGCACAUAGUAGGCGCUUAACGAAUACCACCACCGUCAUCAUCAUCAUACGGGACAGGAAUUGUGUUCUAUUUGAUUAUCUUCCACCACCCCCCAGUGAUUUACCGAAAGUGAGUGCUUAAUAAAU